AUGCUUGAUAGCCCGCAUGCUGAGGAGUUGCAACUUAGAAGAAUUAAUUAUGGGGUGGUUACUCUGAUUCCUAAAACGAAAGAUGCUGCAACUAUCAAGCAAUAUCGGCCAAUAUGUUUAUAUUAUGUUUGUUAUAAAAUUGUGACUAAAGUACUGACAAAUAGGCUUGAGAGAGUUGCAGAUAAGGUGGUGAGUAAGAGUCAGACGACAUUUAUGAAAAACGGAAAUAUUUUAGAUGGGGUGGUCACUAUCCAUGAGGUGUUUCAUGAGCUUAGGAGGACUAAACAAGAGGGGGUCAUACUAAAGCUAGACUUUGAAAAAGCAUAUGACAGGGUGAAUUGGGAUUUUCUACAAGAGGUUUUGCUUAAAAAGGGUUUUCUUUAG
rnacentral:rRNA from 1 species